rnacentral:rRNA from 1 species
UGCAAGUCGUACGCUUCUUUUUCCACCGGAGCUUGCUCCACCGGAAAAAGAAGAGUGGCGAACGGGUGAGUAACACGUGGGUAACCUGCCCAUCAGAAGGGGAUAACACUUGGAAACAGGUGCUAAUACCGUAUAACAAUCGAAACCGCAUGGUUUUGAUUUGAAAGGCGCUUUCGGGUGUCGCUGAUGGAUGGACCCGCGGUGCAUUAGCUAGUUGGUGAGGUAACGGCUCACCAAGGCCACGAUGCAUAGCCGACCUGAGAGGGUGAUCGGCCACAUUGGGACUGAGACACGGCCCAAACUCCUACGGGAGGCAGCAGUAGGGAAUCUUCGGCAAUGGACGAAAGUCUGACCGAGCAACGCCGCGUGAGUGAAGAAGGUUUUCGGAUCGUAAAAUCUCUGUUGUUAGAGAAGAACAAGGAUGAGAGUAACUGUUCAUCCCUUGACGGUAUCUAACCAGAAAGCCACGGCUAACUACGUGCCCAGCAGCCGCGGUAAUACGUAGGUGGCAAGCGUUGUCCGGAUUUAUUGGGCGUAAAGCGAGCGCAGGCGGUUUCUUAAGUCUGAUGUGAAAGCCCCCGGCUCAACCGGGGAGGGUCAUUGGAAACUGGGAGACUUGAGUGCAGAAGAGGAGAGUGGAAUUCCAUGUGUAGCGGUGAAAUGCGUAGAUAUAUGGAGGAACACCAGUGGCGAAGGCGGCUCUCUGGUCUGUAACUGACGCUGAGGCUCGAAAGCGUGGGGAGCAAACAGGAUUAGAUACCCUGGUAGUCCACGCCGUAAACGAUGAGUGCUAAGUGUUGGAGGGUUUCCGCCCUUCAGUGCUGCAGCUAACGCAUUAAGCACUCCGCCUGGGGAGUACGACCGCAAGGUUGAAAACUCAAAGGAAUUGACGGGGGCCCGCACAAGCGGUGGAGCAUGUGGUUUAAUUCGAAGCAACGCGAAGAACCUUACCAGGUCUUGACAUCCUUUGACCACUCUAGAAGAUAGAGCUUCCCCUUCGGGGGGCAAAGUGACAGGUGGUGCAUGGUUGUCGUCAGCUCGUGUCGUGAGAUGUUGGGUUAAGCCCCGCAACGAGCGCAACCCUUAUUGUUAGUUGCCAUCAUUCGUUGGGCACUCUAGCAAGACUGCCGGUGACAAACCGGAGGAAGGUGGGGAUGACGUCAAAUCAUCAUGCCCCUUAUGACCUGGGCUACACACGUGCUACAAUGGGAAGUACAACGAGUCGCGAAGUCGCGAGGCUAAGCUAAUCUCUUAAAGCUUCUCUCAGUUCGGAUUGUAGGCUGCAACUCGCCUACAUGAAGCCGGAAUCGCUAGUAAUCGCGGAUCAGCACGCCGCGGUGAAUACGUUCCCGGGCCUUGUACACACCGCCCGUAACGGCACGAGAGUUUGUAACACCCGAAGUCGGUGAGGUAACCUUUGGGAGCC